AAAAAGACCUUCAAUAUGGCUGACUUCAAAAUGUCGGGUAACAACUUAGAUUUAGUAUGUGAAGUCCAUGAUUGUGAGUUAUUACCUCUCUACUGUAUGGACUGUGAUUGCCCUUUAUGUGGCGACUGUGCCACUCGUGAUCACGUGGGACAUCAAGUCCGAAAAGUGUCCGGAGUGAUUGAAACUCAAGUACGACAACUCGAGGAAUGUCUAGACAGUGACAAUUCAGUCCUAUUUCUUAAAAAAUUAUUUUCUGAUUCUCAAAGUAGACAAAAACAACUCGCAGAAAACAGGGAGGCCUUUUACGAAACGUUUUGAAUAGAGAGGAGGAACUGAUCGAAGAGGCAAAACUUUGGAGAGAGACAUUGUCUAAUAGAAUUAUUACUCUUGUAGACGAGCAAGUGAAAUCUUUGAGAAAAGAUAUGACUAUUACUUCUGCAUUGCUUGGCUUUAAAGACAAAGGUCAAGAGAUGGACAUAACAUGUGAUAGUAUCAAACUAAUGUUUCUAAAUCAUGGAUUUAAGAACAUUCUUAAAAGCAAAGGCAAGAACCUGUCUGACAUUCAGAGUUUGGAUAAUUUUGAAUUUAGAAUAGGAUUGGAAAAUGACGGUUUGUUUGAAUCAUUUGGUCAUUUAGUUGAUAGAACAGAAGAAUUAUCUUCUGAUACAUAUCACAAAGAAGAAGAAGAAGAAGAAGAAGAAGAAGAAGAAGAAGAAGAAGAAGAAGAAUUUUAUGACUCAUUUGAUACAAAGAUGUCAACGAAGUUCAAGCUUUGUCAAGAUGCAAUUGAUCAAAUAGUUCCAGUACAAAAUUCGAAAACUCUUCUUUUGAUUAAAGGCACGGUCUAUGCAUUUGACAUAAAGAAAGGCGAGUUGAAUCCUCAAUCGAUUUUAUCAGGCGUCCAACAAAUUGCUCUGAUCCCAUCUACUGGUGAUGUAUUGUCAUUGAGGAAAAGCCAACGUAACAUUACCCGUAUUUACAGUCAGAGUCUGGCCAUACUGUAUAUUGGUACAAAGAGUGAUGAUGAAACAUAUUGUUGUGUAGGACCAGCGGGGGAGCAAGCGUAUGCUUGUAUUGUACACGUUACCUUGGAAAAUAAAACUAGGAUAAGAAAGCUGUCUUUUUUAGAUGACUUUGGUCGCUUAUUGAUGUCAUUUAUAUGGAAUGCACUUCUGAUUUUCAGAAUACCAACCUAUAGCAGGCAACUUUUUGUUUCUGGUGAAAAAAACAACUAUAUCUUAUUGGACGUAGAAAGAGUGCAUCUUGUCGAUAAACAAGAGAACAAUGUGAAAGUGACCAAAGUUUAUGACGGGUGUGUUGGAACCAGCCCUUCAUCUGCAUUCAGUCCAAAGGACAUAGCACUAGACCACCUUGGAAAUCUCCUAGUCGUCGUAUCUAACGACAACGCCAUUCAUCUUUUGGACAAGAAUUUGACCUUCCAAAAGCUUCUUAUGACAGAAGAGGAUGAUCUUAAGAGAACAACAUCAGUGCACUGGACACUGAGGGAUACCUGUAUGUGGGGUGUGAAGAUGGACAGACAUGUCGUGAAUUAUCAGUAUUUCCUCAACACGAACAGACUAACAAGAUUAAAAAAUGACAUGAAACAGUUUUAAGAAUAGAAACAUAAACUCUCAUGUAGAUCCAUCUCAAAGAGAAGAUAGAUUGGAACAUUGAUAUAAUUUGUUUUGUCCUUAAACAUGUGUGACGGUAGAUAUAGAUAUCUAUUAUAAGCUGGGGUUUUUUUUUUAUCUCACUCCUCACUUUUUAGUUCAUUUCGCACAUGAUCUUUAAUUUUUUCAAUCAGUUUGAUUGGACUUAUUUAUUCAGCACAGAGAGACUUAUUUCAUUAGUAUACCACAUUUCAACGUAUUCCAUCUAAAAGCAAUAAACAGAUACAAUUU
rnacentral:misc_RNA from 1 species